rnacentral:rRNA from 1 species
CGAAGGGUGCAAGCGUUACUCGGAAUUACUGGGCGUAAAGCGUGCGUAGGUGGUUCGUUAAGUCUGAUGUGAAAGCCCUGGGCUCAACCUGGGAAUUGCAUUGGAUACUGGCGGGCUAGAGUACGGUAGAGGGUGGCGGAAUUCCUGGUGUAGCAGUGAAAUGCGUAGAGAUCAGGAGGAACAUCCGUGGCGAAGGCGGCCACCUGGACCAGUACUGACACUGAGGCACGAAAGCGUGGGGAGCAA